UACGAAGGGGGCUAGCGUUGCUCGGAAUCACUGGGCGUAAAGCGCACGUAGGCGGAUUGUUAAGUCAGGGGUGAAAUCCUGGAGCUCAACUCCAGAACUGCCUUUGAUACUGGCGAUCUCGAGUCCGGGAGAGGUGAGUGGAACUGCGAGUGUAGAGGUGAAAUUCGUAGAUAUUCGCAAGAACACCAGUGGCGAAGGCGGACUCACUGGCCCGGUACUGACGCUGAGGUGCGAAAGCGGUGGGGAGCAAACAGGAU
rnacentral:rRNA from 1 species